rnacentral:lncRNA from 1 species
AUGAAAGAAUUCCUGAGGAAAUGCAGAAUUCCAGAGGGUUGGGAAUGUGGAAUUCCAUGGGAAAUGCAGAAUUCCAUGGAAAUGCAGAAUUCCACGGGAAAUGCAGAAUUCCAGGGGGUCAGGAAUGUAGAAUUCCAUGGGAAAUGCAGAAUUCCAGAGGGUGGGAAUGCAGAAUUCCACGGAAAUGCAGAAUUCCACGGAAAUGCAGAAUUCCAUGGGAAAUGCAGAAUUCCACAGAAAUGCAGAAUUCCAUGGGAAAUGCAGAAUUCCAUGGGAAUUCCCGGACCUGGCUCUGGCCACCACGAAGAGCAGCAGGGGCAGGAGUUCGUCCAUCGGGAGCCGCGAGCCCGGAGCCGCCAGAGCCCGGCAGGCGCCGCCCAGGAAUUCCAGCUUUUCCUUGGGAUCCACCGUGGUGCUGCCGGAAAAACAGCGGGAAAAAUGGGGAAAAUCCGGGGAAAAUGGGAAAAACAGGGGAAAAAUGGGGAAAAAAAUGGGGGGAAAUGGGGGGAAAACCCAGGGAAAAAAGCAGGAAAAAAACAGAAGAAAAAUGGGAAAAAAUGGGGAAAAAUGGGGAAAAAUAUGGGAAAAAUGGGGAAAAUCCAGGGAAAAUUUGAGAUGAAAUUGGGGUUUGUGGUAUGGGAAAUUCCUGGGAUUUCCAGGAUGGAAUUCCAGCUUUUCCCUGGGAUCCACCGUGGUGCUGCCAGAAAAACAGCGGGAAAAUGGGGAAAAUCCAGGGAAAAUGGGAAAAAACGGGGGAAAAUGGGGAAAAUCCAGGGAAAAUGGGAAAAAACAGGGGAAAAAUGGGGAAAAUCCAGGGAAAAUGGGAAAAAACAGAGAAAAUGGGGAAAAUCCGGGGAAAAUGGGAAAAAACAGCGGGAAAAUGGGGAAAAUCUGGGGAAAAUGGGGAAAAAUGGGGAAAAUCCAGGGAAAAAAUGGGGAAAAAAAUGGGGGGAAAAGGGGGAAAAAACAGGGAAAAAAGCAGGAAAAAAACUGGAGAAAAAUGGGAAAAAAGGGGGAAAAAGGGGGAAAAUGGGAAAAAAAUGGAGGAAAAAAUGGGAAAAAAUGGGGAAAAAAUGGGGAAAAAAUGGGGAAAAAAUGGGAGAAAAUGGGAAAAAAUGGGAAGAAUGA